rnacentral:misc_RNA from 1 species
AACCAAAAUGGCUUAGGCCAUUUUAGUGAUGGGAGUCCAGCUUCCAGCCCAAUUGAGUAUGGAGCUCUGCUUGUUUAUUAAUCCACACUCCUAGGCCUGUGAUUCUCAACAUGGGUGGUGUGACUGCACAGCCGUGGAUCCAAGAGGUCACACAGCCGUGGAUCCAAGACCAAAAGUAUGGUGGACUGCGCAAAAAGGUGCCUGACCUGUGAGCUGAGCAGCCAAGAUGGGCAAGCAUCAGUGGAUCCAUGGCUAGUCAAGGGUAGCUAUACCUUAAGGGCAUAGCCAAAAAGGAGUCAAACCCAAGUUAAAUGGGCCACCCUGUGCAAUGCAAGUGACAACUGGGCCUGUGACCUUGAGCCCAAUUGCACUCGAGGGGGAGUAUUAGAAUAUUGAAGGUGGGAACAAAAUCCCACAUCAGCGGUGCAUGAGAAUUAUAAAGGGCAUAUAAGUGCUGGCAAAUCACAGCAAAUUUUGGUGAUAGGAGUCUAACUUCAAGCCCAGUUCAGAAUGGAGGUCUGACUAUUUAUUGAUCUAAAAUCCUAAGCCCGUGAUUCUCAAUGCAUCUUAUAUAGGGAAAUACCUAAUCACAACCAAAAAUGUCUUUAUCGCACAAACCAAAACUUGAAAAUCAACCUAUUAAUCUUUACUCUCUUAUAGGAUGUCAAUAACAUAAAAGCGCAAAAACAUUAUCAGCCAUCAGUAAACAAUUUUAACCUACUUGAAGCUGCCCAGUUGAUAGGA